AUUAAUGUUAGUGAGAAUGUAAGUUUUGGUUGGAGGGUAAAAUCAUGAAGGCUUGGUAACUAUAUAUGAUGAUAUUGAGGAAGGAAAAGAAUGACAAAAUCUUGAAGUCACUGCAACCUCAGAAGCCUUGUAGAACAACAUGAUAUGGACCCACAACUUGCUCUUCUUAAACUUUGAAGAAUGAAAGAGAAGUCCCACUGCUUCUCAGGAAGCCCAUCUCACUUUCACAGAGUUUUCAUGGGAAGAAAAAUUUUCCUUACAUAGAACCGAAUCUUUCUCUGCAACCUCCACCUCUAGUAGACAUCCUGGUUUUCCCCCCAAGAGCCAAGAAAAAGUCAUCUAUAUUCCUUUUAUAUCACAGUCCUUCACGAUGACUGAAGUUCUGAGUGAGUUAUCGGAAAAGUGGUGGGACCUUAUUUUCCACCAAGGGAAAAAAAAAAAGAAAUUAGGAGAGAGGAAGCUGUUUUAGCAGGAAAGGACCAAGAGAAUCCUUACAGCCAAGAGCAGCCCAGGAUUGAAGGCAUCAGAGGAAUAAUCUGGGUGUGAAGUCAGAAGUCAAGGACUUUUUACCUGAAUCUUUGAAGAACUUAUUUGAUUUAAUAAAUGGAACUCUGAGAUUUUCAGGGAAACUCAGGUAAGAAUAAAAUAAGCCCAAAUGAGUGAAUUUAGAGAACCUUUGCUCAAAUCCAUUAUAAACCCAGAAUUUGGGGUUCCUGGUCACAGAUUACCUCAUAUUUACAGAUGUCAGAGAGAAAUCAAAUAGACUCAGCCCCUAUUUUGCUUUUUCCAACAAAUAUCUAUAGUCAAAGAUAAAAAAUGAUAAUAAAAAGAUGAUAAAGAAAAUGAUGCUAAUAAAUAAAAUGAAGAUAAACUACACAGGUAGCUCCUUUAAGUCAAUUUAUUUUUUCAGCUCUAAAUGAAUCAUCUAGAGAACUGGUGGAAUUCACAGAUAUAAUCCCCAAGCAACUGUCAGUAUGUUUCCGAAUUCUUGGAGAGUAAGACAGGUGUCAGAAUAUUACAGAUGGGCCAAUAGCCCAAUUUUCAAGACCAUUGAAAAGUUAGAUGCCAAGAACUAAUGAAUGGUUGAUUUGAUAUCAAGCCUGCCAAAAUUCUAGAACAGAUUACUGGACAAAUGGUUUUGAGCAUUUAAAUAAUAAUAAAGGAGCCAUCAUGGGU